rnacentral:sRNA from 1 species
UCAGCAAGACAGGAAGCUGAGGUCAUCUGUUUAUUGAUGAGAUGAGGAGGAGCCAAGGCCCAGCCAGCCAGCUCUUUUGCACGCUGUUCAGCUGGUGACCUUCAACCCUGCACCAGCAGGGAGAGGGAGUUGAACUCAGUCUCCCUUCUGACUUAUUUUUUAUUACU